CCAGCUGUUCAGAGCUCUGGUAUCUGCUGGGUUAGGAACAGGCGCUGGGAGGGAUGGGCACGGCAGAUCCAGGAUCAGCUGCCCUCGGCCCGGUGGGGGUGGGGGUGGGGGUGGGGGUGUCUGCCUGCCACGGGAGGGAUUAAAAACGGAGGGAUGGACGAGAGAGAGGAAUGAGAGAGGGACACGCAGAGAAUAAGGUUUCACUUCGAUGAGGGGACAAGCAAAAGGGGAGGGAGGUUCAUCAGGAUACCUCUGCACCAACAUUCACAGUCGAGGGCAGUCGCACACACAUACUUACACAUUCAAACACACACACACACACGCACACCAACACACACACACACACACACACAUUCAAACACACAAACUUUCACUUUGAUGAGGGGACAAGUCAAGGGGAAGGGGGGUAUCUGGAUACCGCUGCACCGACAUUCACAGUCGAGUCAGACGCACACACACACUGACACAAACACACACAAACACACACAAACACACACACACACACUUACUGUACACAUACCUCCAAAGGCUGAACAGGGCACAGAGUGUGAUUCCCACGGGGGCAGCCGAAAGGUAAACAAGUGCAUACAUGACACAUUCAAGUACCGCGAUACCUCGCCGGAUGAAAGCAUUCCUCCAUUCAUGAGGGUGUGUGUUACAUCAUGGGCUCCACUCUCUCCGUUGACAUCACAAACAGACCGCCCAGACACUGUGGGGCUAGGGGGCUAUAGUGGCUGCGAAGGGUAACCCCCAGGCAUUCAGAACACCAAGGGGUGCGUGAGUGUGUGUAUGUGAGCUUGAGUGUGUGUAUGUGUGUGUAUGUGUGUGUGUACCGUGUACAAAUACGGAACACAUGGAAAUAGACCCACAGUCUCCAGACUGUUUGUAAGAAUGGAAGUGAAACCGGCAAAUCUACAAUGACUCUAAUAAACACCAUUGUGUUUUGCUUUCAUUUUCCAUUUUCUAUCAGAGGAAAACCCUAGCUCAUUAUUCCCCUACAUGUGAUCAGAGGAGAGAAACAUAAAGCACAGCUCUUCAGAAUCCGAACCUCUUCGUCAGCAGGGGACAGAGGUGAUUAGCAUUGAUCCGUGCAGACAGAGGUUGACCUUCUGCUGAUUCCCCUGAUAUACAUGUAACUCCACUCUCCACAAGAGGGCCUCACUGUGAUUACAAUCCAUUCAAACUAUGGCUGCAAAACUACCACCCCUGGUCCUGCAUCUGCCACAGAUGGUACAGAGGAAUGCAUUCUGGGGUGAGGGUUGAGUGAGGGGUUCAGUCAUCCAGCCCUGUCAGCAGGCCCCUGCCAUGUCUGACAGGGCUGAGUGGAGGAUGACUCAUAUUUGCAUUCUUUUUGCCAACUGCCCAGGAGUCAUGAUGAAAUAUUCCCAGUAAAUGACGCUGGGAAAAUUUCAUUUUCGUUUUUUUUGUAUUGAUUUUUUGCACUUUAUUUGGAAAUCUGGAAAUACGACCGUAUUGGAUGUCCACGCUCGCACAGAUGCUGUUCAUUGUCGUGCUGGCGGAGCUUCCCUCAACCUCUCUCUCGGGCCCGUAAUGAAAGCCAUCUACGUUUUAAUGAUGAGAUGCAGCGAGCCUUCUGAUGCUAAUUCAUUGUGAUGGAUGACAUGCGUACUUUGCAAUGAAGUCCAUUUGCAUUUCGGUCUGGAUUGUUUGAGUUGUUUACCGAUGCUGAUCACCCAGGGCCUGUGGGAGAGACAUUGGUUUCAUAUAAACUAAAAGUCGUCAUACCAAACACUGUUCUUUAUUUUCAUCCAACAAACAAACAAAACAGGCUAGACCUUGAAAAAACAUCGCAACGCGGCUUUUCUGUUUAGACUCGACUCUCAGCGCAGGCGUUGUCGUCAACUUUAAGGUCGUCUUUGGAAGUGUGUACUCCGAAAAACUUUGGAAGUGUGUGAGUUCUCGGACUUGUUAUGUUGAGUUAUCGCCAUAUCAACACGGUUUCUCGGAAUUCAAAUUUAUAUUUUUUGUUACCGUGCCAAAAGAGCAUGUGGACAGAAGUAAUAAGAGACCCCGCUAUUUCUGUCUUAUUUUCGGAACACUAGUGCUGAAGCUGUAACAUAUUCCUUAAAGCAACCCCUUGAAGUACACAGAGCAUUCCGGUUCAUAGUUAGACCCAAAAAGGAAGUAUAAUUGUGUUGUUUUAAACGAAGUAAAGCCCUCGGAGCACGAAGCUAGCAGAGCAGUAUUGUUUUGGCUCACUUUCUGUAUUUAUAUCAUUUUGGAAGGCAAUAUAAUUCACAAGCUAGCGAGCUGGUCACGUAUUUUGGGGGCGGGGCUUUGGCCUGAAGGGAGGGGUGGGAUUUUUUUCGGUAGAAUACUUGCAAAAUCGAGCUCACUCUCCCCGCUUUCUCCAAAAUGCUUCCUCUACCCUAAAGCCUAUUUUGGGAAAUUGAAAAACUUUAUUUUGCAUCUGUCCGGAAGUUCACAGAAUUAGAAACCCAAUGAAUUAAAUCUGGGGGGGGGGGGGGGGAAUAUCCAAUCCAAACUUGUGUCACAUUUCUUGUACCAAACGAGCCACACGUUUCCACACACAAACUAACACAACGCCCCUCCCCUUCUCAACAGGUUCUACCCAUCUAGGGGAGCCGAGACCACCAUCCAACCCCGGCUCGCCUCCCUCCUCCUCCCCCCACACCCCCAGCGCCUUGGGCAGCGGCCGCUCGGACCCGGUCCUCAACGGAGGCCUUUACUCCGUGGGAGCAGGCUCCAGCCCAGACUCACCCGGCAAGCUCUCCAAGUCACUGAGCUUCCCCGCCGCCCAGGGUGCGUGGCCCGACGAGUGCUCCAUCUGCUACGAGAACGCGGUGGACACGGUCAUCUACGCCUGCGGCCACAUGUGUCUCUGCUACACCUGCGGACUGAAGCUCAAGAAGAUGUCCAACGCCUGCUGUCCCAUCUGCCGGAGACAGAUCAAAGACAUCAUCAAGACCUACCGCAGCACGUAGUGACGGGACACAGGAACACAGCAACGACAACAACCGGUGCAUCGGAACUGAACCGAGACUGAACUGAAAAGACCUUGUUGUGGUGGGAUCUUCUGGAGACCAGGACGGAAGGUUCUCAAGUCAGGGAAACACUUGGUUUGAAGUGGAGCAGGGGUAUGGAUCUGGUGGAGGCCUACUUUUUUGUUUUGGUGUAGGAUUUGGGUGGCUGGUGCGCUUCCUCACUUCUUCUUGGUGCACGUUUUGAAUUAGGACACGUUUUACGAUCGAGGAAGGCUCCUCCUCGUUUAGUCUGCACCCCUGAGCCUUUGCCUUCGUCGGCGAAGAGAGACUAGCCUAAACAUUGAUCCUGAGAGUUUAUUUUGGAGAGCAUGGAUUCAGACGAGAAGACCAAUUAACAAUUUCGCUCUUUGAUUUUGUUGAACUGCAUUUUUGGUUUUCCGAUAGCCAUCGUCCACAAACACUGAGACUAAUUAGGGACUUCUGGGGCUCUGUGAUUGAGCUGAAAUAUGUAAGUGUGUCGAGAUUGGACGGAUGGUUUAGAAAUGUGCGAUUAAACUAAUGCCUGGCUCGCUGGCAGGAAAGCAAAUCCAAACGUUGGGGAGCGUGUCAGUCGUCACAACUUGUGUCUGUGCGCCACUGAUCUCAGAAUAAGGGGUUUAGAGAAGACAGCGGGAGGGAAAGAUCAACCGAUGGAUAUUCUGUCGUUUGUCGUUAUAGCGUCGGAGCUUUGUAAGUAGGAAACGUAUUUAAAAGGUACAGAGACUAUAAUAAGAGAAGUAUGUUAAGUAGGAUUGUUAUUUAUAUCAUUUCAAGUUAAUGUACCUUUAAUGGUAGUUACUAUAGCAGGUAUUUGGUGGUAGCUGUCGUUUAGCUUUAGCUAUAGCUGCUUGCUCUGCAAUGUGGUAUGUUGCACUGAAUUCUCACUUCGUCCUCAUAGAAAUGCCCUAUUUUUUAAACAGAGAGGACAGAUAUUGAUUUGCUAGGCCCCAACCAGGAUUUCUACAUCUCACAAGCCUGUGCAUCCCUCAAUAUGUGUGGAGCUGGAGACACGACCCAGCAGUAAUUGACCAGUUCUCAGGGUGAAUCUUUAGGAUUUGUGGUAUUUUCCCAAUUUUCUACCUUAAUCCUUGGCUAAAUGCACUGUGAGCUUUCAAAAUACUUUUUUUUUUAAACAUUGUUAGAAAUAGACCACGUACAAUAGGAAUUUCUGCGCCAUUUGAAUUUGCCUGAAAGGCCAGUUUCUAACAACGCAGGUGUCACAAACUGUCUAAUAUCUACUCAGAGAGAAGGGAAAAAGCACACAAAUUGUAAAAAGAAUAUUUUUGUAAAAGUUCCAAAGUUUAACAGCUAAAUUUCCGUUAAGUUACCUUUGUGACUUAUAUACACGCCUUUUACCAGCAGAAAUUAUCCUUCACUUUAAUAUAUUCAUGGGCCUGAACUGCUAUCGGCCUAAUCAGAAAGCUUAUAUAUUUUCUCCUUUCAGCACAAUAUGAUGCCUCUGCUUGCUAUUCAUACUCACAGUUUAAUGCGUAAAACCAACAGGAUGGAGUGGCCCUUUCUUAAAACCCAACAUGUUGCAUAUUGAUUUUGGUAUUUAGCUUUUGUAGUCGGUAUGGUCUUUCGAUUAGUGAAGUUAAGGUAUGGCAAAGUAAGCCAGAUAUAGCUUAUAGCUUGUAGCUAUCCCAUGAAGCUAGAAGGUUGAUUUUGAGAAACAACAACAUAAGUAGUGAUGAAGAAAUUGAUAAUCAGAAGUGGGGCUGAAAUUGAUGCUACUAGUAGUAUUUGUCAGCGUUAUUUGGCAAAUGCUGAUAUUGAUGUACCAGUAUAUCUUCCCGGGCCCGUAGAGUUUGGUUACGCUGUCGCUUGAAGUGUAACUUCACCUUUGAAUGUUAUAUGAUGUAUCUAGAGAGGUUAUUUACUUAUUGGUGUGGUUCAAUUAAAAAUCAAAAACAAAAAAAAAAGUUAUUUUAUAAGAAUUGUGUUUUUGUUUCUCCUUUGUAUCCAAAAGUAUAAUAACCUAAUAUAUUUGUUUUCUAAUAAACAACCUAAGAUUAAAUAUAAAUAUUAUCUUGUACCUCAGAGCAAUAAGAUAUAUUGCAGUAAACAAUCACAAAUACAUUGCGGGGACAAGAUACGAACUAGUGAUUCAUUACACCACCCUUUGUACAAAUACAUUAUCUGAAUUUUUUUUUACAGAAUAUACUACACAUAAGUAAAUAAAUGAUGACAAUAUGUUGAUUAUUAAUGUCACUUUAUAAAGCUCCUGAUUGUAAUUUUGAAAUACGAGACCAUAGUUGCUCUCUGGGAUUUCACCAUGGCAUAUUGGUUUUAUUUUAUUCAGGUUUUUUGGUGUUAUUUUUCGGUUUAAAAUGUGGGUUUUUAUUGGAGGGCGCGGGAGAGGAAACCGACCAAAUCAUAAUCAAUUUGUUUUCACAUCUAUUGUAAUACUACUGUGUACUACUUGUUAUUCCCUUAGUAUAAACACAAACAAACUAUUGUAUAUUGGCCUUUACAUAUUCCUUGUAUAUGUUCCACAAACAUUGACAAUGGACCAUUCAUUGUCCAUGCCAAAAUAUGUUGGCAGCACAGUUAAUCUGCAAGCUAAAUGUCAGAUUAUCAUCGCAUAAUUUGGUUUUAACAUUUUUAUUUAUUUAUUUAUUUAUUGAUUAUUUUAUAAAAACUAAGGUUGUAGUCUAUAUCAGUAAGUAUAUCAAAAACAAAAUGACUGCACGGCUUGAAUAGGAAGUCAGGAAAGUUAGUUUCGGAGAUUAGACAAAUCCAACAGCUCAGUACAGCAGCUGACAGUCUUUUUUCUGGUUAUGUUACAAACUAAAUAAAUCGACAAUGAAAGUCCAUAUUUCAGCCAAAUGCACAUUCAACCUUUCACACAAGCAGUGAAAUUCCACAAGUCACUACAUGUUGUUUAUUUCUUUCUAUCCAAGUAAUAGCACCCUGAAAAAUAAAAAACAGAAUGUUACUGACACUGUAAUGUACUAUAUACAGUCUUUUUGCUUUGUAAACUGUCGUGUGGAACAAUUCCUCUCAACCGUCUUUUUGUGUGUGUGUUUGCAUUUAUUUUUUAUCAGUUUCAACCUUUCAUCUAUCCCGACGCAACAAAGCAAUUACGUCUUUUUUUUUUAUAGAAUUGUAGUUUCCCGUGUUUCCUUUAUACUUCUAAAGUAGUUUUCUCAUUCUAUGUGGGCUAUUUGUUCACCUAAUUUGAACAAGGGGACCAAUGGUAGACGAGCAUUCAGGAUAAUGUAGUGUUUCAGGUAGGCUAGAGCCAGCGGGCGUUUCCGAUGUUUGAAACCGUUGUGGCGCGUUACGUAUGUUACGUACGUUACGUACGGCUGUGGUUCACGAAUCAGGACUUUAGCGGUGGAAGUCGUUUGAGAACAUGUACUCCUUCUUUCUUUUUCUGUUGAAACAAUUCUAGUUUCCAACUGUUUGUGAGCCUCUUUUCAAUGUGAGUCCGACGAUUGUGCUCAAUAAAACUUCAACAUGCGUCUCUGAUGCAAAACAA